rnacentral:misc_RNA from 1 species
GAUGAAGAACGUAGCGAAAUGCGAUAAGUAAUGCGAAUUGCAGAAUUCCAGUGAGUCAUCGAAUCUUUGAACGCACAUUGCGCCCUUUGGUAUUCCGAAGGGCAUGCCUGUUCGAGCGUCAUUAUCACCCCUCAAGCCCUCGGCUUGGUGUUGGACGGUUUGGUGGAGGCCCCCUCGGGGGUUCCUGCCCCUCCCAAAGACAAUGACGGCGGCCUCGUUGGACCCCCGGUACACUGAGUUCUUCACGGGACACGUAUCGGACACAUGGGUUUACGGGACACGGUCUGCCUCCCCCCAGGGAGAAUCUUUCUAAGGUUGACCUCGGAUCAGGUAGGGAUACCCGCUGAACUUAAGCAUAUCAAUAAGCGGAGGA